AGUGCCUGGUGGGUAGUUUGACUGGGGCGGUCUCCUCCCAAAGAGUAACGGAGGAGCACGAAGGUGGGCUAAUCACGGUUGGACAUCGUGAGGUUAGUGCAAUGGCAUAAGCCCGCUUGACUGCGAGAAUGACAAUUCGAGCAGGUGCGAAAGCAGGUCAUAGUGAUCCGGUGGUUCUGAAUGGAAGGGCCAUCGCUCAACGGAUAAAAGGUACUCCGGGGAUAACAGGCUGAUACCGCCCAAGAGUUCAUAUCGACGGCGGUGUUUGGCACCUCGAUGUCGGCUCAUCACAUCCUGGGGCUGAAGUCGGUCCCAAGGGUAUGGCUGUUCGCCAUUUAAAGUGGUACGCGAGCUGGGUUUAGAACGUCGUGAGACAGUUCGGUCCCUAUCUGCCGUGGGCGUUGGAAGAUUGAAGGGGGCUGCUCCUAGUACGAGAGGACCGGAGUGGACGAACCUCUGGUGUUCGGGUUGUGUCGCCAGACGCAUUGCCCGGUAGCUAAGUUCGGAAUCGAUAACCGCUGAAAG
rnacentral:rRNA from 1 species